rnacentral:rRNA from 1 species
AGAGUUUGAUCCUGGCUCAGGACGAACGCUGGCGGCGCGCCUAACACAUGCAAGUCGAACGGAAUCAAGAGGAGCUUGCUUUUCUUGAUUUAGUGGCGAACGGGUGAGUAACGCGUGAGUAACCUGCCCUGGAGUGGGGGACAACAGUUGGAAACGACUGCUAAUACCGCAUAAGCCCACGGUAUCGCAUGGUACUGAGGGAAAAGGAUUUAUUCGCUCUAGGAUGGACUCGCGUCCAAUUAGCUAGUUGGUGAGGUAACGGCCCACCAAGGCGACGAUUGGUAGCCGGACUGAGAGGUUGAACGGCCACAUUGGGACUGAGACACGGCCCAGACUCCUACGGGAGGCAGCAGUGGGGGAUAUUGCACAAUGGGGGAAACCCUGAUGCAGCGACGCCGCGUGGAGGAAGAAGGUUUUCGGAUUGUAAACUCCUGUCGUUAGGGACGAUAAUGACGGUACCUAACAAGAAAGCACCGGCUAACUACGUGCCAGCAGCCGCGGUAAAACGUAGGGUGCAAGCGUUGUCCGGAAUUACUGGGUGUAAAGGGAGCGCAGGCGGACCGGCAAGUUGGAAGUGAAAUCCAUGGGCUCAACCCGUGAAUUGCUUUCAAAACUGCUGGCCUUGAGUAGUGCAGAGGUAGGUGGAAUUCCCGGUGUAGCGGUGGAAUGCGUAGAUAUCGGGAGGAACACCAGUGGCGAAGGCGACCUACUGGGCACCAACUGACGCUGAGGCUCGAAAGCAUGGGUAGCAAACAGGAUUAGAUACCCUGGUAGUCCAUGCCGUAAACGAUGAUUACUAGGUGUUGGAGGAUUGACCCCUUCAGUGCCGCAGUUAACACAAUAAGUAAUCCACCUGGGGAGUACGACCGCAAGGUUGAAACUCAAAGGAAUUGACGGGGGCCCGCACAAGCAGUGGAGUAUGUGGUUUAAUUCGAAGCAACGCGAAAAACCUUACCAGGUCUUGACAUCCGAUGCAUAUUGCAAAGAUGCAUGAAGUCCUUCGGGACAUCCAGAACAGGUGGUGCAUGGUUGUCCUCCACCUCCGGUCCUGGAGAAUGUUGGGUUAAAUCCCCGAACCAAGCGCAACCCUUUUUUGCCAGUUUCCUCCAAAAAGAAGAACUCUGGGGAAAAAUGCCUUUGACAAAACCGGGGGAAAAGUGGGGAUGACGUCAAAUCAUCAUGCCCUUUAUGACCUGGGCUACACACGUACUACAAUGGCGUUUAACAAAGAGAAGCAAGACCGCGAGGUGGAGCAAAACUCAGAAACAACGUCUCAGUUCAGAUUGCAGGCUGCAACUCGCCUGCAUGAAGUCGGAAUUGCUAGUAAUCGCGGAUCAGCAUGCCGCGGUGAAUACGUUCCCGGGCCUUGUACACACCGCCCGUC